rnacentral:rRNA from 1 species
UACACUCCUGCGGGAGGCAGCAGUGGGGAAUUUUGGACAAUGGGCGAAAGCCUGAUCCAGCAAUGCCGCGUGUGUGAAGAAGGCCUUCGGGUUGUAAAGCACUUUUGUCCGGAAAGAAAUCCUUGGCUCUAAUACAGUCGGGGGAUGACGGUACCGGAAGAAUAAGCACCGGCUAACUACGUGCCAGCAGCCGCGGUAAUAAGUAGGGUGCGAGCGUUAAUCGGAAUUACUGGGCGUAAAGCGUGCGCAGGCGGUUUGCUAAGACCGAUGUGAAAUCCCCGGGCUCAACCUGGGAACUGCAUUGGUGACUGGCAGGCUAGAGUAUGGCAGAGGGGGGUAGAAUUCCACGUGUAGCAGUGAAAUGCGUAGAGAUGUGGAGGAAUACCGAUGGCGAAGGCAGCCCCCUGGGCCAAUACUGACGCUCAUGCACGAAAGCGUGGGGAGCAAACAGGAUUAGAUACCCUAGUAGUCCCA